rnacentral:rRNA from 1 species
UGCCUACGGGGGGCAGCAGUAAGGGAUAUUGGUCAAUGGGGGAAACCCUGAACCAGCAACGCCGCGUGAGGGAAGACGGUUUUCGGAUUGUAAACCUCUGUCCUCUGUGAAGAUAAUGACGGUACCUGAAGAAAAAGCUCCGGCUAACUACGUGCCAGCAGCCGCGGUAAUACGUAGGGAGCGAGCGUUGUCCGGAUUUAUUGGGUUUAAAGGGUGCGUAGGCGGGCUGUUAAGUCAGCGGUCAAAUGUCGGGGCUCAACCCCGGCCUGCCGUUGAAACUGGCGGCCUCGAGUGGGCGAGAAGUA